CGACACAAUCAAACACAAUCUUAUCAGACACAUCUUGUGUGUCAAGUUUUCUAAACUCAAGAUGUGUACAGAAACAGAAGGGUUUAUAAUAGCAAUACAGGACUGGGUAAUAAACAUGAAAAAUUACAGAAAAUACAUAAUGAGGUACAGCACUGACAAACGACACUUGUAUGAAAUGCUACAUAGCACCCAAAACGAUUCGACUCAUUACAUCAGGUUGCAAGCUGCUUGCACAAACAGAUUACCUAUACAGACACAAUCAAGAAGCAAACAUAAUACACCAAAAACUUGCAAUUAAACUUGAAAACAAAUUAAUAAACACACC
rnacentral:lncRNA from 1 species